rnacentral:rRNA from 1 species
UCCAUGGCUCAGAACAGAACGCUGGCGGCAGGCCUACACAUGUCCAGUCGAACGAGAAGCCACCUUCGGGUGGUGGAUAGUGGCAGACGGGUGAGUAACGCGUGGGAACGUGCCUUUCGGUUCGGUAUAUCUCACCCGAAACUUGGGCUAAUACCGGAUACGCCCUCCGGGGGAAAGAUUCAUUGCCGAAAGAUCGGCCCGCGUCGGAUUAGCUAGUUGGUGGGGUAAAAGCCUACCAAGGCGACGAUCCGUAGCUGGUCUGAGAGGAUGACCAGCCACACUGGGACUGAGACACGGCCCAGACUCCUACGGGAGGCAGCAGUGGGGAAUAUUGGACAAUGGGCGCAAGCCUGAUCCAGCCAUGCCGCGUGGGUGAAGAAGGCCCUAGGGUUGUAAACCCCUUUCAGCGGGGAAGAUAAUGACGGUACCCGCAGAAGAAGCCCCGGCUAACUCCGUGCCAGCAGCCGCGGUAAUACGGAGGGGGCUAGCGUUGUUCGGAAUUACUGGGCGUAAAGCGCGCGUAGGCGGACCUGCAAGUCGGGGGUGAAAGCCCGAGGCUUAACCUCGGAACUGCCUUCGAUACUGCGGCUCUCGCGUCCCG